rnacentral:rRNA from 1 species
AGUGAACGCUGGCGGUAGGCCUAACACAUGCAAGUCGAACGGCAGCACAGUAAGAGCUUGCUCUUACGGGUGGCGAGUGGCGGACGGGUGAGGAAUACAUCGGAAUCUACUUUUUCGUGGGGGAUAACGUAGGGAAACUUACUCGAAUACCGCAUACGACCUACGGGUGAAAGCAGGGGAUCUUCUGACCUUGCGCGAUUGAAUGAGCCGAUGUCGGAUUAGCUAGUUGGCGGGGUAAAGGCCCACCAAGGCGACGAUCCGUAGCUGGUCUGAGAGGAUGAUCCGACACACUGGAAGUGAGACACGGUCCCGACUCCGACGGGAGGACGCAGCGGGGAAUAUUGGACAAUGGGGGAAAGCCUGAUACAGCCAUACCGCGUGAGUGCAGAAGGACUUAGGGUUGUAAAGCCAUUUUGUUGGGAAAGAAAAGAAGCAGGUUAAUCCGCCGCUGUUCUGACGGUACCCAAAGAAUAAGCACCGGCUAACUUCGUG